UUAAGUUUAUUUUAACUUAUCAAUACUCACAUUAUGAUUCCUAUCAUGAUCUAACAUGAUGUCAAGGAAUGACAUCCAUUUUCAAGUCUUAUAUUUCAAAUAAUGAAGGAUAACAAACAUAACAAUUCAUCAUUCUAAGAUAUCAAUUUGUAAAAUUACAAGUUAAGCUCUAGAUAUCUUAUCAUAAUUAAGAAAAGUUAACAUGCAACCUUUUCAAGUGUAAAAUUACAUACAUUUAUCAUCAAUAAAUUACAUACAUUUAUCAUCAAUUUACCAUAUUUUGAU
rnacentral:lncRNA from 1 species